rnacentral:rRNA from 1 species
AGUGAACGCUGGCGGUAGGCCUAACACAUGCAAGUCGAACGGCAGCACCGUAAGAGCUUGCUCUUACGGGUGGCGAGUGGCGGACGGGUGAGGAAUACAUCGGAAUCUACUUUUUCGUGGGGGAUAACGUAGGGAAACUUACGCUAAUACCGCAUACGACCUACGGGUGAAAGCAGGGGAUCUUCGGACCUUUCGCGAUUGAAUGAGCCGAUGUCGGAUUAGCUAGUUGGCGGGGUAAAGGCCCACCAAGGCGACGAUCCGUAGCUGGUCUGAGAGGAUGAUCAGCCACACUGGAACUGAGACACGGUCCAGACUCCUACGGGAGGCAGCAGUGGGGAAUAUUGGACAAUGGGCGCAAGCCUGAUCCAGCCAUACCGCGUGGGUGAAGAAGGCCUUCGGGUUGUAAAGCCCUGUUGUUGGGAAAGAAAAGCAGCAGGUUAAUACCCCGCUGUUCUGACGGUACCCAAAGAAUAAGCACCGGCUAACUACGUG